rnacentral:lncRNA from 1 species
ACGUGGCGAUUAAAUGGUAAUUUAUAAUCAAAACAAAGCAAAGGGAAAGCAAUUUUGUGUAUUUCCCUUUUAAUAUUUCAAAAAAUAAAAAUGUGACCCACACGCAUUACGCAUUACGCAUUUCAGCCUUCAGGUGUUUCCUUUAAUUUUUCUCUCUUUUUUUUGGGUCUCGUCUAGGGGCAUUAACGCUAAGAAUGUCUUAUUAGUUUGUUUGUUUUUUUGGAAAGGAAUUAAAUUGCAAUACAAUGAAGACCGACCUUAUGACUCCAGCCUAGGGUAUAAUCUCCAUUCCUAAACAUCAAAGGUGUAAAUGAACAAAUUUAAGUCUAUUCCAUCUAAGAAGUUGCAGUAGAAGUUUAAUGUUGAAAGUAAAAGAUGAUCCAUGAUGUAUUAAAUAUUACUUUUAGGAUUUAGGGAAGUUCGCUCACUACGUGGACCAAUUGUUUUUUUUUUUUUUUUUUCAAAUGGAUUUUAUGGGUUAUCGUGACUCACUAAAUAUACUAAUUUUCUAUGGUAUACAGACUAGACUUGAAGAAGACUUGCCUUAAUGGAACAAGGAAGGAAUGAGUGAGGUAGUGGAGGAAAUAUUUCCAGAGUUAGGCACAUCCCUGGCCACGCAUUAGUUUUCCUCUAUGCUCCAAUUAUUUGUGUAACAUUUUCUAAAAUAUGUGUUUGAAUGAUUAGAGAUUUUUUUUUAUGUAAUGUUUUAAGG